rnacentral:tRNA from 1 species
GAGGGGGAGCAUUUUAAAGCCAGCGCAUACUGCUAAUUUUCGUGUCCACGGUUAGAUUCCGGGGCCCCCUUA